rnacentral:rRNA from 1 species
CCUACGGGAGGCUGCAGUGAGGAAUAUUGGUCAAUGGACGCAAGUCUGAACCAGCGAUGCCGCGUGCAUGAAGAAGGCUCUAUGCGUGGUAAGCUGCAUUUGUACGAGGGUAAGCGCAGAUAAGCGGAUCUAUCUGAACGUAUCGUACGAAUAAGGAUCGGCUAACUCCGUGCCAGCAACCGCGGUAAUACGGAGGAUUCAAGCGUUAUCCGGAUUUAUGGGGUUUAAAGGGUGCGUAGGUGGUCGGAUAAGUUAGAGGUGAAAUCCCGAGGCCCAACUUCGGAAUGGCCUCUGAUACUGUGCGGCUAGAGAGUAGUUGCGGCAGGCGGAAUGUCUGGUGUAGCGGUGAAAUGCUUAGAGAUCAUACAGAACACCGAUUGCGAAGGCAGCUUACCAAGCUACGUCUGACGUUGAGGCACGAAAGCGUGGGGAGCAAACAGGAUUAGAUACCCGUGUAGUC